rnacentral:rRNA from 1 species
UACGAAGGGGGCUAGCGUUGCUCGGAAUCACUGGGCGUAAAGGGUGCGUAGGCGGGUCUUUAAGUCAGGGGUGAAAUCCUGGAGCUCAACUCCAGAACUGCCUUUGAUACUGAAGAUCUUGAGUUCGGGAGAGGUGAGUGGAACUGCGAGUGUAGAGGUGAAAUUCGUAGAUAUUCGCAAGAACACCAGUGGCGAAGGCGGCUCACUGGCCCGAUACUGACGCUGAGGCACGAAAGCGUGGGGAGCAAACAGGGAUU